GACGAACGCUGGCGGCGUGCUUAACACAUGCAAGUCGAACGGUGACGAGGAGCUUGCUCCUCUGAUCAGUGGCGAACGGGUGAGUAACACGUGAGCAACCUGCCCCAGACUCUGGGAUAACAGUUGGAAACAGCUGCUAAUACCGGAUACGAGACGGAGAGGCAUCUCUACCGUCUGGAAAGUUUUUCGGUCUGGGAUGGACUCGCGGCCUAUCAGCUAGUUGGUGAGGUAAUGGCUCACCAAGGCGACGACGGGUAGCCGGCCUGAGAGGGCGACCGGCCACACUGGGACUGAGACACGGCCCAGACUCCUACGGGAGGCAGCAGUGGGGAAUAUUGCACAAUGGGCGAAAGCCUGAUGCAGCGACGCCGCGUGAGGGAUGAAGGCCUUCGGGUUGUAAACCUCUUUCAGCAGGGAAGAAGCGAAAGUGACGGUACCUGCAGAAGAAGCACCGGCUAACUACGUGCCAGCAGCCG
rnacentral:rRNA from 1 species